rnacentral:tRNA from 1 species
GCUUGAAUAGUUUAUUAAAAAUAUUGAUUUGUGGGAUCAAAGAGGUCUAGGGACUUUAGGUA